rnacentral:rRNA from 1 species
AGCGAACGCUGGCGGCAGGCCUAACACAUGCAAGUCGAACGGACCCUUCGGGGUUAGUGGCGGACGGGUGAGUAACACGUGGGAACGUGCCUUUAGGUUCGGAAUAGCUCCUGGAAACGGGUGGUAAUGCCGAAUGUGCCCUUCGGGGGAAAGAUUUAUCGCCUUUAGAGCGGCCCGCGUCUGAUUAGCUAGUUGGUGAGGUAAUGGCUCACCAAGGCGACGAUCAGUAGCUGGUCUGAGAGGAUGACCAGACACAUUGGGACAGAGAAACGGCCCAAACUCCUACGGGAGGCAGCAGUGGGGAAUCUUGCGCAAUGGGCGAAAGUCUGACGCAGCCAUGCCGCGUGGAUGAUGAAGGUCUUAGGAUUGUAAAAUCCUUUCACCGGUGAAGAUAAUGACUGUAGCCGGAGAAGAAGCCCCGGCUAACUUCGUGCCAGCAGCCGCCGUAAUAC